rnacentral:rRNA from 1 species
UACGGGGGGAGCAAGCGUUGUUCGGAUUUACUGGGCGUAAAGGGCGCGUAGGCGGCCAGCACAAGUCAGUUGUGAAAUCUCCGAGCUUAACUCGGAAAGGUCAACUGAUACUGUGCGGCUAGAGUGCGGAAGGGGCAACUGGAAUUCUUGGUGUAGCGGUGAAAUGCGUAGAUAUCAGGAGGAACACCGAUGGCGAAGGCAGCUCGCUGGGACGGUACUGACGCUGAGGCGCGAAAGCGUGGGGAGCAAACAGG